rnacentral:rRNA from 1 species
UGGGGAAUUUUGGACAAUGGGCGAAAGCCUGAUCCAGCAAUGCCGCGUGUGUGAAGAAGGCCUUCGGGUUGUAAAGCACUUUUGUCCGGAAAGAAAUCCUUGGCUCUAAUACAGUCGGGGGAUGACGGUACCGGAAGAAUAAGCACCGGCUAACUACGUGCCAGCAGCCGCGGUAAUACGUAGGGUGCAAGCGUUAAUCGGAAUUACUGGGCGUAAAGCGUGCGCAGGCGGUUUGCUAAGACCGAUGUGAAAUCCCCGGGCUCAACCUGGGAACUGCAUUGGUGACUGGCAGGCUAGAGUAUGGCAGAGGGGGGUAGAAUUCCACGUGUAGCAGUGAAAUGCGUAGAGAUGUGGAGGAAUACCGAUGGCGAAGGCAGCCCCCUGGGCCAAUACUGACGCUCAUGCACGAAAGCGUGGGGGAGCAAACAGGAUUAGAUACCCUGGUAGUCCACGCCCUAAAACGAUGUCAACUAGUUGUUGGGGAUUCAUUUCCUUAGUAACGUAGCUAACGCGUGAAGUUGACCGCCUGGGGAGUACGGUCGCAAGAUU